rnacentral:rRNA from 1 species
GAACUAACAAGGAUUCCCCUAGUAACUGCGAGUGAAGCGGGAAAAGCUCAAAUUUAAAAUCUGACAGUUGUUCUGGCUGUCUGAGUUGUAAUCUAGAGAAGUGUUACCCGCGCUGGACCGUGUACAAGUCUCCUGGAAUGGAGCAUCAUAGAGGGUGAGAAUCCCGUCUUUGACAUGGACUACCAGGGCUUUGUGGUGCGCUCUCAAAGAGUCGAGUUGUUUGGGAAUGCAGCUCAAAAUGGGUGGUAAAUGCCAUCUAAAGCUAAAUAUUGGCGAGAGACCGAUAGCGAACAAGUACCGUGAGGGAAAGAUGAAAAGAACUUUGGAAAGAGAGUUAAACAGUACGUGAAAUUGCUGAAAGGGAAACGCUUGAAGUCAGUCGCAUUGACUGGAAAUCAACCUUGCUUUUGCUUGGUGUAUUUUCUGGCUUGAUGGGUCAGCAUCAAUUUUGGUCGCUGGAUAAAGGCUUGGGGAAUGUGGCAUCUUAGGAUGUGUUAUAGCCCUUGGUUGCAUACAGCGGUUGGGAUUGAGGAACUCAGCAUGCCGCAAGGCCGGGUCGUUUUUCGACCACGUUUACGUGCUUAGGAUGCUGGCAUAAUGGCUUUAAUCGACCCGUCUUGAAACACGGACCAAGGAGUCUAACAUGCCUGCGAGUGUUUGGGUGGAAAACCCAUGCGCGCAAUGAAAGUGAAAGGUUGAGAUCCCUGUCGUGGGGAGCAUCGACGCCCAGACCAGACCUUUUGCGACGGAUCUGCGGUAGAGCAUGUAUGUUGGGACCCGAAAGAUGGUGAACUAUGCCUGAAUAGGGUGAAGCCAGAGGAAACUCUGGUGGAGGCUCGUAGCGAUUCUGACGUGCAAAUCGAUCGUCAAAUUUGGGUAUAGGGGCGAAAGACUAAUCGAACCAUCUAGUAGCUGGUUCCUGCCGAUUUUU